AAGAAAUGAUUUGGUCCUCUCCCAAUGGCUCUUGUAUUUGAAGGCAUGCCCUUUAUUCUAUUACUAUUAAAAGCAUCUGUCCUGAAAAAAAACAUUUAUUAUUGAGUUUGUCAUGCCACAGGGUUGAGCAAAAAAAAAUGCUGCCAGAAUUGAAAGAAGCUUGUUUGUCUUGAAGAAAAAAAAAUCAAAUAAUAAUAAAAGGCUCUGGUUCCCUUGACCGAAUUUACAAAUCAUUGUUUUGUGAAAUAUGAAAAGAGAAAGUAAUCAAGCCACAGAUAUGAUUGCAUUAUUAUUGAUUGAAAAAUCUAAUCCAAUAUUAAAUCCCAAUUGCAAAAUUGAGAGCAAAAAGACUGUUUUAGAAUGAUUCAGUCCUAGUCUUUAAUCAUUGGAACGCUUUCAUAUAUACAGCAUGUGAAAAUAUUGUUAGCGGUUACAAUACAUGCCUUAUUGAGAAUUGACAUUCUUGUCGCCGAGAAUGUCUCUGAUCUGUAAGUAUCCAAAACCACAAUAUGUAAUCAUAUAGUCAAGUCAAUAGCGCUCAGCGUCAUAAAAGUUCCAUUUUCUUGUCCUUUUUUUUAUUUGCUAGUGAAUGCCAUUAGAUUGUGAAGCCGUGUGUUUAUUGAGGUCAAUAAAACUAGAUCACUGAUAACAAUCAAAUGUGAAAUGUGCAUUCUAUUCAAGAUAAGCUUUCAGAGUAACUAGGCCACAAUUCAGUCAGAGCAAAGUCUCUGUCUAUAUUUGCCCACGUCAUUUAUGUUUACAGCAAUAAAAGUCUCCGUCUCAACCGACUGUACUUUUCCAUCACCCCCGUCUUUUCUUGCUUCUGUAUUUCUUUUCUUUUUUAAUUAACCAUCUUUUCCUCUGUGUUGUCAUUUCUUGACAUCUUGUGCAAGGGUCACCUUUGUUUAUGUUCUCUUUUUUUCCUGACUCACUGGUUACUGUUUUACCACAGCAGACCAAAAAAACAAUCCAAGUUUAACAGCCCCCCUUUUUUUUUGCCAUUGACCUGACUUUCUGUACAGUAUGACAUUUCUUUGUGGUCUCAAGCUUACUCAUUAGUCACACAAGUGUUGUUCGAAGGUUUAUAAUUACCAUAACAUUGGUGCUCAUUUCCUUCCGCAUUAUAAUAUCAGUACUGGGAAAUGCACUAACAAAAGAAAUUCCCUAAAAUCAUGGUACUGACCAAUGUUACACUAAAUUAUGUCGACAUGCUGCUCCACGACACGUGAAAUAUGAAUAGAAUAAUUCUAAUAAUGAAACUCAACUAUGAGUCACUUUCAAAUUCGUUGCUUUGUGACGAACGUCAUGCCGGCUCAUCUGCCGCACACUCAUGGCAACAAGACUGGUGCAGUACCGUCCGGACUCGCUGCUUGUAAUGUUUGAUCUUCCUCUCGGCCGCUGCAUGCUGGUUUUAAUGAAUUACAGCAAGCACUCGAGCGUUUCCCAGCUGAACUCUUUCCUUUCUUCCAUCUCCUCACACUCAGACAACUAACCUGUUCAUUUUAGCCCGCAUUGUUAUUAAGCAAAGGGGGAAAAAAAAAAAAUCAUUUAGAAAAGCAAUUUGCCUGAGAAUGAAAUGUUGUUAGGUGCGUCAUGAUUGUUGUCAAUCAGCACAAAUGGUGAUUCAUCGACAUACAUAGGUAUCCGUAAUUGUCAGGGCUACUGUUAAAUCAUACGCUACCCAUUUUGUUUUGAGCAGCAUGGUUUAGAUUUAAAAAAAUAAUAAUAAUAAAUAAAUACCAGUGCUACUUAUCAGAAAUGAUUGCUAUAGGUCGACGCUAAUCUGUGUGUUCCAAAAAUCUCAAUGCAGCUCUGCUUACCUAUUGACUUUUGUUUUUUUUCUCCCAAAAAGCCAUCAUUUGAAAGUGGCUCUAGAUUUUCACCCAGCUAGCUGAUCAGUUAAUGGCUGCAAAUGCUUUGUGUGUGUGUGUGUGUUAUUAUGUAAAUGAGCCCCACGGUUAUAUAACAGCCAGACAAAAUUGCUGAUCCCCGUCUGUUCUUGAAUUAGACUGGCUCAACCUGCAGAUCAAGAACUUUCCCAUAUUCCCUUACUUACAGCGAGGUGGAUCGCAGCAGCAGCAACAUAAAUAACAGUGCGAGAGUGCGACAAGCUCGCUUAGUCACGUUGUUCCCUCAGCGCCGUUGCUAUGGAGCUGAACUCCAAGAUGUUGGCCGAACAUGGAAGAGUCAUCAAUAGUGGCACCUAUUUGGAUGCUGGACGAUAUCAACGAGAAAUAACAAUAGGACCUUCCGAUUUAAUUGAUUCCGUCAUUCAGCCCUGGAAUGGAAAUGAUGAAAAAAUAACAAUCGAGCAUUUUUGUCGUAUUCUCCAGUCGCAUAUGAAUGCUUGGCCUUGUUUACCGUUGACAGCGUGAACUUGUCGACCAGAGGAUGGAAAGUCGGGAAGGUUACCUCGUCUCCCUCUCUGACUGGCGUAAACUCGUUGCUUUACGGUGAAACGAUUGUUGAACUUUCACGAGGCGAAGAUAAUGAUAAUUGUUUUGUUUCCCGCCAUCCGAUGUUUUUCUGCGAUGACUCCAAGGAUAAUUGACCCCCGUCAUGAAUCGAACUAAGCCAUGCUUGUUGUUUUCCUCUAAAAUAGGAAUGAAACUGGCACAUUGGAGCACAUCUGGUCAGACAUAUUUUGAACAUUUGUAUUUUCUCCCAUAUCCUUUUGUAAAUCAUGUCGUUCCUCCUCGAGAAGUGAAUCGAUGUGCCUCAAGUCGCUGGACGAGAUAAGAGACUGUGAAAGACGUUUUCUCUGAGAGUUAAUGAUUGGCUGAUUUACAUUUUAUCAAGAGUGUGUGUGUGUGUGUGUGUGUGUGUGGUUAGUACAAAUAGCAUUUGUCUCAUAUGGACUCUAAUUAGAAAGCGUCGUUUUCUUCUUCGGUGGAUCACGUUGCACGGCUUCUGAAUAAAUUAAGUGUUGUUUAA